UUUAUUGGAGAGUUUGAUCCUGGCUCAGGACGAACGCUGGCGGCGUGCCUAAUACAUGCAAGUCGAGCGGACCUGAUGGAGUGCUUGCACUCCUGAUGGUUAGCGGCGGACGGGUGAGUAACACGUAGGCAACCUGCCCGUAAGACCGGGAUAACUACCGGAAACGGCAGCUAAUACCGGAUAAUCAAGUCUUCCGCAUGGGAGGCUUGGGAAAGGCGGAGCAAUCUGUCACUUACGGAUGGGCCUGCGGCGCAUUAGCUAGUUGGUGGGGUAACGGCUCACCAAGGCGACGAUGCGUAGCCGACCUGAGAGGGUGAACGGCCACACUGGGA
rnacentral:rRNA from 1 species